CUUAUACAUAGCACCAUUAUUUUCCAUAUCAAAUGGGUGAUCAGCUCAAAAUCAGCCAAUGAUUUUUUUUUCUGGUUGGAGAAUGGAUUAGAGUCCCAGACUGCAUGGACCUACACCAUAGCAACAAAGAUACUCUAAUAUUGGGAAAGAAGAGCAACCCAAAGAAACCCAAUUCAAUGUUAAAACAUCCAGCUUUUAUUUUAUGUAUCUCAAAUCCCAAUGACUGCCUGCCUAAAGUCUGUUCAGAUUUCAGGCUUGUCCUCUUUCUUUUUACUUCCUUUCUCAAGACCCUAAUCUCUGAUCCUGAUGCUAAUGACGCAUGAUUCAACUUUUAAAAAUCUGAUCCCAGGAAUUUAAUUUGAAAAGCAGAACUGGACAGAGACGAGGUCCUUAUUGGAAAAUUGUCAAUGUAAGUUUGUUCACAUUGCUUCUGGAAAAAAUUAAGAACUGAGCCUGCACACUUCAGUAUGUGAACCAACCAUGGCCUCUUCAGGUGAAGAACUUCUUACCAUGUUUCAUAAUGGGUUAUGAGUGCAGCAAAAAUAAACAAUUCUCUGAAAUUUGGUGCACAAAACAAGGUCCACUGGAUCUCCUGGGUUUUCUGGGUUACAAGAAGCCCUGAGUGCCAUCAACCACAUAAUGCACAAUUACUGAAUAGAAGUGUUGGGAAUUCAUGUAAAAAAAAAAAAACCAUCCAGAAAUCUACAGUUUGUCCAUAUGUAUAUUGAAAGAGGAGGUGAUUGCAUAUAGAUAUAAAACAAUGUUUGACAAUUUAAAAAUCAUCAUUGCAAACUUAUUUUUCCUCCAUUUUAGGAAUAAAUUUAAUACCAUUUACUGUAGUAAUACUGGAAAAUUGAUCGUGUUUUUAUUUAGUGCCAGAAAUAUGCUUCUUCUUUGCUUAGAAUCUGUUUCCUGCAAAGUGUUUCUCUGUCAGGAGUCACAUACAUUCACAUUUUCUUAGCUUUCUUGUGGUUCUGAACAUUCUCUGGGCUCUUCCAGACUGCUGUGCCAAAGUGUUACUCACUAGUUUUAAAACAGUUCUAAAUUGUGCUAUCUCAGUACUGAUCCCUAUUCUACAACAGUAACAUGAUAGGUAAAAAUGGCUGUGCAUAUCUUCCUAUUGUGGAUCAUAUUAUGUGUUGGUCUUCCAGAAGAGCACCAAACUUGUGUUUAUAAAAAAAAUGACAUCUAUCACAAUAAGCACUAUGGAAUAUUUUGGAUUCUAGGAUUUUCAGGGGAAAGUUACAAUAUUUAAUUUAAUGGAAAGGCUAUCCAAUUUCACAAGUGACUUGGGUUAAUAGAGGGAAAGUAAAUGGUGAUAGAUUGGUGGGGAGAUUCCAUGAAAAAUAUCCACACAAACCAAAAUGAUUACAUGAUGCCUUUGCAGAAAUUUGGCUUUUUUCCUGCAGUAAAGUUAAAUGAUCACGAAGGAAUGGGGUAGUUGCCACUGCAACCUAAAGUAGUGAAAAGAGAGAUUGAUACAUAAUAAUGCUUAGAAGAGCCCGCACAAGACAAAACCCAGGGGUGGGAUUCAAAUUUUUUAACAACCGGUUCUGUGGGUGUGGCUUAGGUGGUG